UCUCUUCUCUUCCUCAUUUUCUCUCUCUUUUCAUUCUUUCUGUGUCUAUCUUUCUACACCCAUCCUCAUUCUUCACAAAUACGAAGUAAUUCUUGAAAGAAACUAGAGAGAAUACCGGUGAACGAACCAAAUUCUGAAUCCACUUUACCUCGAAUACAGUUUCCGAUUACCAACUCUCUAGCGGCUAACCGAUACGAAGUGUGCAGGCAGAAGCUAGAGGAGAUACAGAUAAAGACGAAAUGGGAGAUGAAAAAAGAUUAAAAAUAAGGAACCGAGAAAGAACGAAAAGGGACCAAAGCGAAGGGUAAAGGUUCCUCUGAGCGAAAAUGUGUAUGAAACGACGAAAAAGAAGAAGGUAACUAGAGUGAUAGAGAAUGAAAAAGAAAGAGAGAGUAUACGGAAUGCUAUCAUGAGUUUUCCGAGUUUUCCAGGAGCUAUCCGGGAAGCCGAGUGGGGGUGUUAAUUACCAGCUCGUUCUGUGCAUGAGAAAGAGAGAGAGAGAGAGAGAGAGGAGAGAAAGAGAGAGAGAGAGAGAGAGAGAGAGAGAAGAGAGCACUCUCGAGAUAUGGGAGCGGAUGGGGGCAGACUCGAUGGUAGGAAAGGAUGGAGGCAGCCGGGUGCGAGAUAACGUUUUCAAUUACCUGCAGGAUGUGACGUAGUUAUGAGUUAGCUACCUAGAGAGCGAAAGCGGUGAAGGUUAGAAAUCCUACCUCUCUAGCAAGCCAACCGACUGCUUCCAGGAGAUGAUGAACCAAGAUGGCCUAAGAAGACAAAAGGCAAACGAAAUAGAUGCAAAUACGCCAUUUACGAAAGGCUACGGGACGGGAAGGGUGUAAGCCGAGUGACAACGAACGACGGGAAUCGAGCGGAGAAGCGAAGCGAAAGAAGCAGAAAAACCGAUCCAAUUAGCGCAUGGCUUUAAUGCGAUAGGACGAAGGCGAAGACUCCCUCUUAUAAUCCUCGAGACUCCUUUCUGUUCGCUCUUCUCCCAGUUGACUUCGCGCUACGGACCCUAGCAGACCCCUCUUCUUCUUCUCCUCUUUUUUUUAUGUACUUUCGAGAAUAUCGCAGAUGGCUUUACCGACGGUAACUUUACGGCGACUACCUCUGGAUGCAUUUCAUUCAGGAUGAAAUGUGCCAACGUUCAACGAAGAGAAAGAAUGAAAAAAGAAUGCGAAAUCAUCGAAGCUUUCGUUGAAGUUCGACGACGUUUCGAUGGGAUUUCUUCUCCGAUCAUCGACUCGGCUCUAACAAUAGCUUCAGGCGGUGAAAAUUGAAUUUAAGGAAAAAUUAAAUGUGCUUGAGGAGUA